GCGGCGGGGAGAGCGAGACCCGCGCCUCGGGCUCCAGGGAGGGAAAGAAAGCUACAGAAAGCCGGAGCGGGGCUGCACUUCACGCUGAAGUUUCCCUUUUGAAUCGUCUGGAGUUAUGGCCCCUAAAACCAAGCAGAUGACUUCAUCUGGUGUUCAACCAAAAGAAAAUGAUCUGUUCCAAGACUGAAGGAAAAAUUGGCAGUGUUGAACUUAUUAAGAAGCAGUAUGACUGCAGAUUCUACUUUAUGGACAAUAUAAGGCAUUUUCAAGAGGAAAGUUGAAUAUAUGGAAUUUUCUUCUUAAAUAGUGACUUGAAUACUUAACUACCACAGAAGAUGCAACUCCAUGACAAUCUGGCAACAGUGAAUCAAAGCAAAAUGGAAACAACACUGGAACAGAUGCAGAAGUCUAAUAAGAACGUCUUCUCGGACAAAGCUAUUUUAAUGAAAGCGACACUCUGUGCAACCUCCCUGAUUCCUUCUCGUGUUCAACCACCCAAAUUAGAUUCACUUCAUUGGCUGUUUUCAUCAGGUUUCACAACACUGGGGACUAUCCAAAAGAAAUAAAAGUUACCUUUUUGGAUUCACUGGAAACGGUUUUAGCCAACAAGCUCUGACAGAGACAUAAUCUUAAUGUACCUGAACUCUAGAAAGCCAUGGUGAAAGCCAAGAAUUUGGACUGCAUUGUAAAAAGGAAGACUCCAAAGUCACACAACAAAUGGUGAAGAUACAGGAAAGGGUGAAGAAUCAAGGCUCAAAAAUGCACCCUACCACAGGGUCCAGGGAUAUUACCAAAGGUCUGCAAGUUUAAACGGUAUUUUGAAAUUUGCAAUUCAGUGAGAAAAUAAAUAAUGUAAUCACAUUGUGAUAAUGAAGUCACAGAACUUCA